GCAAAAAGCCGACAAACCCAGCUGAGUGGCAAAUGUCAUGUCCCAUUUUCACUCCCUUUGCUUGCUCGUGUAACACAUCUGACAUCCUGGCCUCAUGGGGGAGCUGUUCCUUGAGUUUUGGAGUAAAAAUCCUACAGUUGAACUUCAUCCCUCCUGUUCAGCAUGCGUCCCCUUGAUUUUUUUUCCUGCGUUUUCUUCCGACAUUCCUCCUCUUUUCCAUCAGCCUUGGGCUCCAGCUGUGGACAACCGAAACAGACACAGCACCACAUCAAGGCCAAACUACUGGCACGUGUUUGUGUGCAUGUGUUGGCAUGUUUUUUUGACUGGAGUAGGCACUACAGCUACAGAUACACUGCCCAUUCCAAAGGGUGUUAUUUUUGCCCCUUUGCAGGAGUAGAAAAAGGGCCAGCUGUCCUUUUGCCGUUGAUCGACUCUGGUGCCUCUGGGACUCUGAACCAGCUCCAUUCAUGUGCUAAAGUGACAGCUGCUCCUCACAUUCCACAGAAAAUUAACUGCAGGCACCGGAAAACAAGCUGGAGAGACAUAAAUAACACAUGACAGAUUUGUCACGUCUGCUUCUCAAUGGAUGGAUCAGUGAUGAAAGAGUGGAUCGGAAAGAUUCUUUUAAUUUUGCUUGAAAAUAUUCAAAGAGGUCUUGCUGCUUGAUCAUCCAAAGUGAUAAUCUUGGCAACUUUACCAAUGUGGUGAAGGCCGUGAUGUAAAUUAAUGUUUUUUAUGUCUUUAUGUGUUCUGAUGCAGAUUUCUUUGAUCAAACUAAAUAAAGGAAGAGAGGAUAAAAAAAGGCAUUGUGUGUCCGUUUGUCAUCCAUUAAACCAUUUUAACAAUAUAUUUUUAUUGUCUCUAACCAAAAUAAGGGGCGGUGCUUUUACAUGAAAAGGACUUUGACUGGCCCUUGAUGGGCUAAAAUCCUACUGAACCUACGCCAAGAGUCGUUUCUCAGAGUAAGUUGAGGUGAAUUCAAAGUUUGUGAAUGAUAGUGGACGUCAUUAUAAUCUUUCAGUGAAAUUAAGAGAAUCAAAACUAUGC
rnacentral:lncRNA from 1 species